GGAGGUAUAGCUUAGCGGUAGAAUGCAUGCUUAGCAUGCUUAGGUCCUGGAUUCAAUCCCCAGCACCUCCA
rnacentral:tRNA from 1 species